GAACACAGUAAACAAAAAUAUGGAUGUGGAAUCUAAAACCUUGCUGAGAAACUGCCUCCAAUGUUGCUCCCUUAACUUUCACUGUGGAAAACUCUGAAGGAAGUUGGCCGCACCAUUUAAUGGAAGCAUGAGGAACUAGUCUCUUUCCUUUAGAUAUGUAUGAAAAUGGCUCCACUGUGACUCAGCAGAUGGCUCCACUGUGACUCAGCAGAUCUCCAGGAUUUUCCUGUGUAGUUUCUGUUUUGGCUUUCAUCUGGUGGGAACUGACUGCUACAGGACCGAGGCUUUUAAAUCAAACCCAAAUAACAAAAUGUAUUUAGAGCUGAAAAAGGUGGUGCCAUCAGGCUGGGGUGGGGAUGAGGAAGUGAUUCAUUACCCCAGUUGGAAUGUAAAUUCAAUGAGUUUAAUUACUAGUGGUGUCAAAAAAGGAUUUUCACUGAUAGCAAUAUUCUGUGUUUUUUUCUUAACUUUUAUUUUAAGUUCAGGGGUGCAUGUGCAGGUUUGUUGUAUAGGUAAACUCGUGUGAUAGGGGGUUUGUUGUACAGAUUAUUUCAUCACCCAGGUACUCAGCCUAGUAGCUAUUAAUUAUUUUUCCUGAUCCUAUCCCUCCUCCCACCUUCCAUCAUCUGUUAGGCCCCAGUGUCUGGUGUUGCCCCCAGUGUGUUCUCCUCAUUUAGCCUCCACUUAUAAGUGAGAACGUGUGGUAUUUGGUUUUCUGUUCCUGCAUGAGUUUGCUGAGGAUAAUCGCUUCCAGUUCCACCCAUGUUCCUGCAAAGAACAUGAUAUCAUUAUUUUUUGUGGCUGUAUAGUAUUCCAUGGUGUAUAUGUACCACAUUUUCUUUAUCCAAUCUACCUUUGAUGGGCAUUUAGGUUGAUCCCAUGUCUUUGCUAUUGUGAACAGUGCUGCAAUGGACAUAUUCAUAUGUGCAUAUGUUUUUAUAAUAGAAUGAUUUAUAUUUCUUUGGGUAUAUGCCCUAGCCAAGGCAAUCCUAAGCAAAAACAACAAAGCAGGGGGCAUCAUGCUACCUAACUUCAAACUAUACUACAGGGCUACAGUAAACAAAACAACAUGGUACUAGUACAAAAACAGACACAUAGAAAAAUGGAACAGAAUAGAGGGCCCACAAAUAAGCCUACAUAGUUGCAACCAUCUGAUCUUCAACAAAGUGACAAAAACAAGCAAUGGAGAAAAGACUCCCUAUUCAAUAAAUAGUGCUGGGAUAACUGACUAGCCAUAUGCGGAAGAUUGAAACUGAACCCCUUCCUUAUACCAUAUACAAAAAUCAACUCAAGAUGAAUUAAAUACUUAAAUA
rnacentral:lncRNA from 1 species